GAACCGUCCAAACGUUAUUCGGAUUCAUUGGGCUUAAAGGGUACGUAGGCGGCGCUUCAAGUCGGGUGUGAAAUCCCUCGGCUCAACCGAGGAACUGCGCCCGAUACUGGAGUGCUUGAGGGAGACAGAGGUAAGCGGAACUGAUGGUGGAGCGGUGAAAUGCGUUGAUAUCAUCAGGAACACCAGUGGCGAAAGCGGCUUACUGGGUCUCUUCUGACGCUGAGGUACGAAAGCUAGGGGAGCGAACGGGAUUAGAUACCCCGGUAGUCCUAGCUGUAAACGUUGAGCACUUGAUUGAGGGCCCCCCCAUAGGCUCUCGGUCGAAGCGAAAGUGAUAAGUGCUCCGCCUGGGGAGUAUGGUCGCAAGGCUGAA
rnacentral:rRNA from 1 species